CUAGCGACUUCAGAGUUUGAUCCUGGCUCAGGACGAACGCUGGCGGCGUGCUUAACACAUGCAAGUCGAACGGAGUUAAGGAGCUUGCUUCUUAACUUAGUGGCGAACGGGUGAGUAACGCGUGAGGAACCUGCCUUUCAGUGGGGGACAACAGUUGGAAACGACUGCUAAUACCGCAUAAUACUACCGGGUGGCAUCACCUGGUAGUCAAAGAUUUAUUGCUGAAAGAUGGCCUCGCGUCUGAUUAGCUAGUUGGUGGGGUAACGGCCCACCAAGGCGACGAUCAGUAGCCGGACUGAGAGGUUGACCGGCCACAUUGGGACUGAGAUACGGCCCAG
rnacentral:rRNA from 1 species